CUCAGGAAACUAAGUAAUGGACUGGAAGUCAUAUAUGACUUGAAAGCUUUCUUCCUAACUGUUAUGUGAAUCUGAUAAAUACUCCACUAUCGUUUCUCCAUCAAUUCCUCCUUCUCACCAACAGGAGGAAAUGGUUCUGGCUCAAUUCAUGGGAUUUCUUGGGGAAGUUUCAAUAGACUAAUGGACUCCAACAGAAAAGUUUGUUCCAACUGAGAUCUUUCACAAAAUGUUUCAUGAUACCGUCACUCUUGCCCAGUUCUGAAUCCAAUCAAAACUUAGUAAAACAUUUUAUUUCAUCCAUUAAUGACAGAAAGGAAUAAAAGAGAAAGACCUUAUAAUUAUACACCAAAUCUAGCAGAAGGAGUAAUGGAUCUCCAUUUUUCUGAGAGGUGAAAGUUGUCUGGGAUUGCUGCCAAAGAAGCUCUGAAGAGAAAGGCCACAUCAACUAUGCUGAACAGAAAGAGAGAACUAUGCUGUAAAAUCAUCGAGCGACCCAAAUAAAAUGAUACAGAGAAUCUU